GAUGAACGCUGGCGGCGUGCUUAACACAUGCAAGUCGAGCGGUAAGGCCCCUUCGGGGGUACACGAGCGGCGAACGGGUGAGUAACACGUGGGGAACCUGCCCUCCACUUCGGGAUAAGCCUGGGAAACCGGGUCUAAUACCGGAUAUGACUUCUGGGUGCAUGCCUGGUUGUGGAAAGUUUUUUCGGUGGGGGAUGGGCCCGCGGUCUAUCAGCUUGUUGGUGGGGUGAUGGCCUACCAAGGCGACGACGGAUAGCCGGCCUGAGAGGGUGAUCGGCCACACUGGGACUGAGACACGGCCCAGACUCCUACGGGUGGCAG
rnacentral:rRNA from 1 species